GAUCUCGCUAUGAUGCGAUCUACUGAUCGUAGCUAUCGCAUACGUGCAAGCUAUAUUGACUGACUCCUGCAUCGAUUGUCGAUCGAUAGCUGUAGUAGUACGUCACAGCGACGAUCUAGCUGUCGAGACGAUGACAGCACACUGACUGAGACAGUCAGCUCUACGAGCAGCAGUAGAUAUGCACAUGCGCAGCUGAUGCAGCAUGCGCGUGUAUGAGAGCUCGUGUAGUACUUCAGCAGAGAGGAGUAAGUAUACUUGCUCAUGACGUAUCGCAGAGAGCACGCUACUCGUGCAGCAGCGCGUAUACGAGGUGCAGCGUAUCGAUACUGGCGUCAGCGCACGCAGCGUUGUAGUCAGAUGUGAAUCUCGGCUCACUAGACUGCAUCUGAUACUGCAGCUGAGUCUCGUAGAGCGGUAGAUCAGUGUAGCGGUGAAUGCGUAGAGAUCUGACGAUAUCGGUGCGAACGCGCCCUGACGAAGACUGACGCUCAGGUGCGAAAGCGUGGUGAGCAACACGAUUAGAUACCUGGUAGUCACGCCGUAAUCGAUGUCGACUUGGAGGUUGUGCCUUGAGGCGUGGCUUCCGGAGCUAACGCGUUAAGUCGACCGCCUGGGGAGUACGGCCGCAAGGUUAAAACUCAAAUGAAUUGACGGGGGCCCGCACAAGCGGUGGAGCAUGUGGUUUAAUUCGAUGCAACGCGAAGAACCUUACCUGGUCUUGACAUCCACGGAAGUUUUCAGAGAUGAGAAUGUGCCUUCGGGAACCGUGAGACAGGUGCUGCAUGGCUGUCGUCAGCUCGUGUUGUGAAAUGUUGGGUUAAGUCCCGCAACGAGCGCAACCCUUAUCCUUUGUUGCCAGCGGUCCGGCCGGGAACUCAAAGGAGACUGCCAGUGAUAAACUGGAGGAAGGUGGGGAUGACGUCAAGUCAUCAUGGCCCUUACGGGCGGGGCGACCCACGUCCUUCAAUGUCUCCUACAAAGAGAAGCGACCUCCCGAGACCAAGCGGACCUCAUAAAGUGCGUCGUAGUCCGGAUUGGAGUCCGCGAACUCGACUCCCUGAAGUCGGAAUCGCUGGUAAUCGGGAUCAGAAUGCCUACUUGAUCAAGGCA
rnacentral:rRNA from 1 species